GAUGAACGCUGGCGGCGUGCCUAAUACAUGCAAGUCGAGCGAACAGAUGAGGAGCUUGCUCCUCUGACGUUAGCGGCGGACGGGUGAGUAACACGUGGAUAACCUACCUAUAAGACUGGGAUAACUUCGGGAAACCGGAGCUAAUACCGGAUAAUAUAUUGAACCGCAUGGUUCAAUAGUGAAAGACGGUUUUGCGGUCACUUAUAGAUGGAUCCGCGCCGCAUUAGCUAGUUGGUAAGGUAACGGCUUACCAAGGCGACGAUGCGUAGCCGACCUGAGAGGGUGAUCGGCCACACUGGAACUGAGACACGGUCCAGACUCCUACGGGAGGCAGCAGUAGGGAAUCUUCCGCAAUGGGCGAAAGCCUGACGGAGCAACGCCGCGUGAGUGAUGAAGGUCUUCGGAUCGUAAAACUCUGUUAUUAGGGAAGAACAAAUGUGUAAGUAACUAUGCACGUCUUGACGGUACCUAAUCAGAAAGCCACGGCUAACUACGUG
rnacentral:rRNA from 1 species